UGGAGCCGUGUGCGGGAAAUCCGCAAGCACGGUUCUUUUGGGGAGACUAUGGUUAUGAGACCAAAUCGCUGGUUUCAAGGUCAUGAGUCUCUACCAGAC
rnacentral:ncRNA from 2 species